rnacentral:rRNA from 1 species
AACGAACGCUGGCGGCAUGCCUAACACAUGCAAGUCGAACGAAGGCUUCGGCCUUAGUGGCGCACGGGUGCGUAACGCGUGGGAAUCUGCCCCUCGGUUCGGAAUAACAGUUAGAAAUGACUGCUAAUACCGGAUGAUGACUUCGGUCCAAAGAUUUAUCGCCGAGGGAUGAGCCCGCGUAAGAUUAGGUAGUUGGUGGGGUAAAGGCCUACCAAGCCGACGAUCUUUAGCUGGUCUGAGAGGAUGAUCAGCCACACUGGGACUGAGACACGGCCCAGACUCCUACGGGAGGCAGCAGUGGGGAAUAUUGGACAAUGGGCGAAAGCCUGAUCCAGCAAUGCCGCGUGAGUGAUGAAGGCCUUAGGGUUGUAAAGCUCUUUUACCAGGGAUGAUAAUGACAGUACCUGGAGAAUAAGCACCGGCUAACUACGUGCCAGCCGCCGCGGUAA